rnacentral:tRNA from 1 species
GCCGGUCGUGGCGCGCGGGGCGGGCACCGGGCUGUCGGGCGGCGCGAACGCCGUCGCGGGCGGCGUGGUGAUCUCGUUCGAGGCGAUGGACCGGAUCC